AACGAACGCUGGCGGCAUGCCUAACACAUGCAAGUCGAACGAGACCUUCGGGUCUAGUGGCGCACGGGUGCGUAACGCGUGGGAACCUGCCCUUAGGUUCGGAAUAACUCCCCGAAAGGGGUGCUAAUACCGGAUAAUGUCUUCGGACCAAAGAUUUAUCGCCUUUGGAUGGGCCCGCGUUGGAUUAGCUAGUUGGUAGGGUAAAAGCCUACCAAGGCGACGAUCCAUAGCUGGUCUGAGAGGAUGAUCAGCCACACUGGGACUGAGACACGGCCCAGACUCCGACGGGAAGCAGCAGUGGGGAAUAGUGGACAAUGGGCGAAAGGCUGAUACAGCAAUGCCGCGGGAGUGAUGAAGGCCUUAGGGUUGUAAAGCUCUUUUACCCGGGAUGAUAAUGACAGUACCGGGAGAAUAAGCUCCGGCUAACUCCGUG
rnacentral:rRNA from 1 species